GUACACCUGGGAGUCAAAUAUGUAAGGAUCUGGAGCAGGACUUAAUGGGGGGCGUUCCAUCUGUGGCCAGCCCUACACUAGAGCUGAGAUGACUGUAAUUUCCCCUCUCAACAUGGGCUUUCGUUUUCAUUUUUGAUAACACUUUGUGCCAAGGUGCCAGUUUCAAGGGUUUUGAGUUUUAGAGAAUCAUUACUAAACACUUAAAUGAUUAAAGUUGUGUAGGUGACCUCUUCUAGAAAAGCUGCCAGUAUUUCUGGCUGAGAAUCGCAUUCUCUUCUUUAAAAACAAUAAUUAAUGAUUGAUCAAGUAUUUUCAUUGUAUUUUUUUUAGAUGUGUGGGGACUCCUUGUAGUCCUUUAAUAUCCUUGAAGUUGGUACCAUUAAGUGUGAGCACAACAUUUUUACAUAAUUUUAAACACCUAUGUUAAUGUGGUUUUAGUUACAAGCACAAAUUGUCAACAAUGUCAAAUCUGAUAUUUGAUUAAAAAUAUAUUUAAAAGCCCAAAUAAUUUGCAGAACAUCCGUUGUUGUAUUUGCGUGACUUGUAAAUAUAAAUGUCCUUUUUGCUUUGGA